rnacentral:rRNA from 1 species
UACGGAGGGUGCAAGCGUUAUCCGGAUUCACUGGGUUUAAAGGGUGCGUAGGUGGGCAGGUAAGUCAGUGGUGAAAUCCCCGAGCUUAACUUGGGAACUGCCAUUGAUACUAUUUGUCUUGAAUACUGUGGAGGUUAGCGGAAUAUGUCAUGUAGCGGUGAAAUGCUUAAAUAUGACAUAGAACACCAAUUGCGAAGGCAGCUGGCUACACAAAUAUUGACACUGAUGCACGAAAGCGUGGGGAUCAAACAGG